rnacentral:tRNA from 1 species
GGAGGUGUGGCUGAGUGGUUGAAGGCACCGCACUCGAAAUGCGGCAUACGGGAAACCGUAUCGUGAGUUCGAAUCUCACCACCUCCG